rnacentral:ncRNA from 1 species
AGGUUAAUAAAAAUGAGAGAAGGCUAGCACCUCUCGUGACAAGGAUAUAGAUGGCUGUGCCCCUAUUUUGUGGCACUCUCACUAUGUUUU